AUUGAACGCUGGCGGCAUGCCUUACACAUGCAAGUCGAACGGUAACGCGGGGCAACCUGGCGACGAGUGGCGAACGGGUGAGUAAUGUAUCGGAACGUGCCCAGUUGUGGGGGAUAACUGCUCGAAAGAGCAGCUAAUACCGCAUACGACCUGAGGGUGAAAGCGGGGGAUCGCAAGACCCCGCGCAAUUGGAGCGGCCGAUAUCAGAUUAGGUAGUUGGUGGGGUAAAGGCUCACCAAGCCAACGAUCUGUAGCUGGUCUGAGAGGACGACCAGCCACACUGGGACUGAGACACGGCCCAGACUCCUACGGGAGGCAGCAGUGGGGAAUUUUGGACAAUGGGCGCAAGCCUGAUCCAGCCAUGCCGCGUGCGGGAAGAAGGCCUUCGGGUUGUAAACCGCUUUUGUCAGGGAAGAAAAGACUCCUGUUAAUACCGGGGGUUCAUGACGGUACCUGAAGAAUAAGCACCGGCUAACUACGUGCCAGCCGCCGCGGUAAAAC
rnacentral:rRNA from 1 species